rnacentral:lncRNA from 1 species
UCGGAGACAAGGAUAGUACGAAAGGCGGGGAAUGGAUUAGGAAAGACGGAAGGAAGCAGACGACAGUGUUGAUUAUGAAUGAUGAAAGCGACCAACACACAUUCAUUCAUUCGUUCAUAUACUUCUUGACCACCGUCACUGUGUCACUGUUUCUAUUCUUCACUCUUUUAUUACCUUUCUUUCAUCUUCCUCAUUGCUCAUGGCCAUGGUGCCACGUAACUUGGACCACUUCAACUCUUUUUCUGGUGGGUCAUCACUCAUAUGUUGCAUCUCAAAACCAAGGAGAAUAAGCUAUUCUCUGUAAUUUAAUGGCCUCG